GUGCACCAGGCGCGAAUCCUUCGCAAUGCGGGAAACCGCGACGAGGGGACUCCCAGUGCCUACGCUCAGCGUAGGCUGUUCCCGAGCCUAGAAAGCUCGGGGAGUAAGGGCUGGGUAAGACGGGUGCCAGCCGCCGCGGUAAUACCCGCAGCCCGAGUGGUGGCCACUAUUAUUGGGCCUAAAGCGUCCGUAGCCGGCCCGGUAAAUGCCUGGGUAAAUCGUGAGGCCUAACCUCACGAAUUCCGGGUAGACUGCCGGGCUAGGGACCGGAGGAGGGAGAGGGUACUCCAGGGGUAGGGGUGAAAUCCUGUAAUCCCUGGAGGACCACCGGUGGCGAAGGCGCUCUCCUAGGACGGGUCCGACGGUGAGGGACGAAAGCCAGGGGAGCGAACCGGAUUAGAUACCCGCGUAGU
rnacentral:rRNA from 1 species